rnacentral:misc_RNA from 1 species
GAUGAAGAACGUAGCGAAAUGCGAUAAGUAAUGUGAAUUGCAGAAUUCAGUGAAUCAUCGAAUCUUUGAACGCACAUUGCGCCCGCCAGUAUUCUGGCGGGCAUGCCUGUUCGAGCGUCAUUUCAACCAUCAAGCCCCCGGCUUGUGUUGGGGACCUGCGGCUGCCGCAGGCCCUGAAAACCAGUGGCGGGCUCGCUAGUCACUCCGAGCGUAGUAAUACAUCUCGCUCAGGGCGUGCUGCGGGUUCCGGCCGUUAAAAAGCCUUAUUUACCCAAGGUUGACCUCGGAUCAGGUAGGAAGACCCGCUGAACUUAAGCAUAUCAAUAAGCGGGAGGA